ACUUCGUGAAGCUGGAUUCGCUAGUAAUCGCGCAUCAGCCAUGGCGCGGUGAAUACGUUCCCGGGCCUUGUACACACCGCCCGUCAAGUCAUGAAAGCCGGGGGUACCUGAAGUACGUAACCGCAAGGAGCGUCCUAGGGUAAAACUGGUAAUUGGGGCUAAGUCGUAACAAGGUACC
rnacentral:rRNA from 1 species